GAUGAACGCUGACAGAAUGCUUAACACAUGCAAGUCAACUUGAACUUCGGUUUGGGUGGCGGACGGGUGAGUAACGCGUAAAGAACUUGCCUCACAGUUAGGGACAACAUUUGGAAACGAAUGCUAAUACCUGAUAUUAUGAUUUUAGGGCAUCCUAGAAUUAUGAAAGCUAUAUGCGCUGUGAGAGAGCUUUGCGCCCCAUUAGCUAGUUGGAGAGGUAACGGCUCACCAAGGCGAUGAUGGGUAGCCGGCCUGAGAGGGUGAACGGCCACAAGGGGACUGAGACACGGCCCUUACUCCUACGGGAGGCAGCAGUGGGGAAUAUUGGACAAUGGACCAAGAGUCUGAUCCAGCAAUUCUGUGUGCACGAUGAAGUUUUUCGGAAUGUAAAGUGCUUUCAGUUGGGAAGAAAAAAAUGACGAUACCAACAGAAGAAGUGACGGCUAAAUACGUG
rnacentral:rRNA from 1 species